AAGAGUUUGAUCAUGGCUCAGAUUGAACGCUGGCGGCAGGCCUAACACAUGCAAGUCGAACGGUAACAGAAAGCAGCUUGCUGCUUUGCUGACGAGUGGCGGACGGGUGAGUAAUGUCUGGGAAACUGCCCGAUGGAGGGGGAUAACUACUGGAAACGGUAGCUAAUACCGCAUAACGUCGCAAGACCAAAGAGGGGGACCUUAGGGCCUCUUGCCAUCGGAUGUGCCCAGAUGGGAUUAGCUAGUAGGUGGGGUAAAGGCUCACCUAGGCGACGAUCCCUAGCUGGUCUGAGAGGAUGACCAGCCACACUGGAACUGAGACACGGUCCAGACUCCUACGGGAGGCAGCAGUGGGGAAUAUUGCACAAUGGGCGCAAGCCUGAUGCAGCCAUGCCGCGUGUAUGAAGAAGGCCUUCGGGUUGUAAAGUACUUUCAGCGGGGAGGAAGGGAGUAAAGUUAAUACCUUUGCUCAUUGACGUUACCCGCAGAAGAAGCACCGGCUAACUCCGUGCCAGCAGCCGCGGUAAUACGGAGGGUGCAAGCGUUAAUCGGAAUUACUGGGCGUAAAGCGCACGCAGGCGGUUUGUUAAGUCAGAUGUGAAAUCCCCGGGCUCAACCUGGGAACUGCAUCUGAUACUGGCAAGCUUGAGUCUCGUAGAGGGGGGUAGAAUUCCAGGUGUAGCGGUGAAAUGCGUAGAGAUCUGGAGGAAUACCGGUGGCGAAGGCGGCCCCCUGGACGAAGACUGACGCUCAGGUGCGAAAGCGUGGGGAGCAAACAGGAUUAGAUACCCUGGUAGUCCACGCCGUAAACGAUGUCGACUUGGAGGUUGUGCCCUUGAGGCGUGGCUUCCGGAGCUAACGCGUUAAGUCGACCGCCUGGGGAGUACGGCCGCAAGGUUAAAACUCAAAUGAAUUGACGGGGGCCCGCACAAGCGGUGGAGCAUGUGGUUUAAUUCGAUGCAACGCGAAGAACCUUACCUGGUCUUGACAUCCACGGAAGUUUUCAGAGAUGAGAAUGUGCCUUCGGGAACCGUGAGACAGGUGCUGCAUGGCUGUCGUCAGCUCGUGUUGUGAAAUGUUGGGUUAAGUCCCGCAACGAGCGCAACCCUUAUCCUUUGUUGCCAGCGGUCCGGCCGGGAACUCAAAGGAGACUGCCAGUGAUAAACUGGAGGAAGGUGGGGAUGACGUCAAGUCAUCAUGGCCCUUACGACCAGGGCUACACACGUGCUACAAUGGCGCAUACAAAGAGAAGCGACCUCGCGAGAGCAAGCGGACCUCAUAAAGUGCGUCGUAGUCCGGAUUGGAGUCUGCAACUCGACUCCAUGAAGUCGGAAUCGCUAGUAAUCGUGGAUCAGAAUGCCACGGUGAAUACGUUCCCGGGCCUUGUACACACCGCCCGUCACACCAUGGGAGUGGGUUGCAAAAGAAGUAGGUAGCUUAACCUUCGGGAGGGCGCUUACCACUUUGUGAUUCAUGACUGGGGUGAAGUCGUAACAAGGUAACCGUAGGG
rnacentral:rRNA from 1 species